AGGCAGAGCGCGUGUGGCCGCCGAGCACAUGGACCCACUGGUCAAGCGGGCUCGGCAAGGCCAGGAUGAAGAGAAGCUACGAACUUAGCAUUCCCAGAGCCCCCCGAGUGGAUAUCCGCGUGGAAAGGAUGUUGGCAGCCCCGGUGACCUCGGAGUCACGGCUGGAUCCACCCUCUUGUCUGAUUUUCUUAACUCUACUACGGUAAGAAGAUGCCCUCCAUCAGCAGGCCGUGUCUGCUGGGACCUCUCUGGAGACUUCCUGAACCCUGUGGAUUUACAGUAAGAUGCAGUUUCCUGGGGAGUAAUUCUGGUGGAUACAAAUUCCGGAGUAUUACACCUGGCUUGCCUGGAGAUGUUACAAGUAGCUGGAUGGAUUCUUCAGCCUGGAUGCCCACUGAAAACAAGGACCGAAACUAAGAGGAUUGUAUCUCUACCCUUGACUCAAUGAGAAUGUUUGUUGUCAUCUCUCGGGCUACCUGGAGCUCCCUCUAAAAUAGAGCCGAGUUCUGUCACCACAGACAUUGGCAGUGGCACUUGCAUGCCCCUGGCAAGCAGUCUAUCCUGAGGUGGAGGAAGUUGCCCUUGAGUUCUGGCUGGUAACCAGCACAGGGGCUGGGACACUGCCUGAUUGAGGUGGCCAUUGAGAAUUCAAGUGUACCUCUUGGUCCCUGAUGCAGAAAUGAAGUCCCCAGCAUGCUCAAGAAGAGCUUCCUUGGAGGAUGAGAGGCAUGGGAAUCUAAGUAUACCCUUUAAGCGUUCCAGAAGGAUUUUGAGAUCCUUUCCUAAAUCAAAGGUGGAAUAUUUGGGGAUUUGGAAAAUUGAGCAUUUUUUUCCCCACUUGCUUGACUGUAAUGCUAACAUGCUCUCUCUGCUCCAACCUGGAGAAGCCAGUCUCUCAGAAGAACCAGUUGUGUUACUUUGCUGUGAGAUGCCUGCCCUAAGAGAGGAGCAGAAGGUCGGAACGGGUCCUCUAAUGUGAUAAUUAGAUGUGAAGCGUUGACUUAAGAGAUGCCAAGUAACUCAGCAGAUGUCACACAGACGAUAAAUAGCAAAGAUGGAAGUCUUCAUGCCGGAGGCAAUCCUAUAAGACAGCUGAGUUCUGCAGAGCUGGUAGGAGACAGACUUGCUCAGGUGAUAGAUCCAGCCAUGAUACUGACCCUAAGAGAAUGAGACGCUCUGCAGAAGACAGAAGAUUCCUGAAACUGGGAAAGGUGCCUAGAAAUCCUGAUAAGAGUGAAGAAGGGUACCUGGAGGCACAGCAGCCAUGUUGAACCUAUGAGGUGAUGAAAAACCAUGCAACUAGAAACCAGAAUGGAAGAAAAGAAGAAGCUGGAUCCUUGACUGAAUUGUCGAUGGGGGAUAGUCCAUCAUCCCAGGGCUAAGACCACCUCCAGAUUUCUUGUUUGGUGAAACAAGUCCUGAUUGUUUACAUUCCCUCGUGUUGAGCUGUCUCUUGCUUGUAGCUGAAAGCAUUUCUAAUAGAUAUUCAGAUUAUCAGCCUUAGCUCCAAGCUAGAAUACUCUAUGGGACCUUAGCUUCUCCAUGAAUUCCUUUGCUCAUCUGUGUAAUGCUCAAUAAAUGUAAAUUGAACCCUGAAUGAGGGACAAUGACA
rnacentral:lncRNA from 1 species